GCAUAAAUAACCAUUCAGUUCCCAGUUCCAUCUCCAGGUACUAUUCUAUCUCAUUUUCUCUAUUCCAAUUAACACUUAUCAAAACAUUUACCAACAGCAGAAUUUCCUUCACGGUUCAGUGGUUAACGAAUCCAACUAGGAUCCAUGAGGAUGCAGGUUCGAUCCCUGCUUGCUCAGUGGGUUAAGGAUCCCGCGAUGCCGUGAACUGCGGUGUAGGUUGCAGAUUCGGCUCAGAUCUGGCGUUGCUGUGGCUGUGGCACAGGCCAGCGGCUGCAGUUCUGAUUGAACCCCUAGCCUGGGAACCUCCAUAUGCUGCAGAUGCAGCCCUAAAAAGCAAAAAAAAAAAAAAAAAAAAAAAAAAAANAAAAAAAUUUCCAACAGCAACUAUCACCUUUUUUUCCCUUCCCUUUUACUCCUUAACCCACUGCCACAUAUAUUAUCUCAUCCCUUCCAAUUCUCAAAAACAACUCUCCAUAGAUCACCAAUGGCCUGAACAUCACUAAAUGCAGGGGUGGAUUUACAUCCUCACCUUACUGUUUCCCCUGCUUGAGUUACUGACUUGACAUUCUCUUGGUUCCCUUCCUGCCUCUCUGACCAUAAUGGUUCAUGCCAUCCAUCUGCCCUCUUUCAGGCCUUGUUCCUGUUACUUUCCCCUGAAUUUCUGUCUCCCAAAGGCCUAACAAUUCUUAAGAUUUCAACUGAAACAUCAUUUCCUCAAAGAAGUCUGCCCUGCUUCUGCAGCUUUGGCAAGUUCCCCAACUAUAACUCUCUUGCACUACCCCAUUCUUCUGCUUUUAAGCAUUUAUGACUAUUUGAACUAAAAUAACUGUAAUAAGUAAUUAUUUGAUGUCAACUGCCCUCACUGGAAUGUAAGGUUAGGAGUUAUGAUCCCUGUUCUGUACAUGAACAUUUAAAUGGAGGAAGGGACAGAAGGAGUUUCACAAACUAAAUUGAUAACUAUUAACUUUGAUUCUAAAUAAUAUGUAAACUAAAGAAAAAACAGAAUCAUUUCAGGAGUUCCUGUUAUGGCUCAGUGGUUAACGAAUCCGACUAGGAACCAUGAAGUUGCGGGUUCGGUCCCUGGCCUUGCUCAGUGGGUGAAGGAUCCGGUGUUGCUGUGAGCUGUGGUGUAGAUCGCAGACCGGGCUCAGAUCCUGCAUUGCUGUGGCUGUGGUGUAGGCCGGCGGCUAUGUCUCCGAUUAGACCCCUAGCCUGGGAACCUCCAUAUGCCAAGGGAGCGGCGCUAGAAAAAGCAGAAAGACAAAACAACAAAAAACAAACAAACAAAAGAAAGAAAAAAUAGAAUCAUUUCAAUAAUUUGAUUCAGAGGUUAAAAACAAACAAACAAACAAAAGAAAGAAAAAAUAGAAUCAUUUCAAUAAUUUGAUUCAGAGGUUAAAAACAAACCAACUGGGAAAUGAGUUGAAGUUCAGCCAAAAUAUCAGAGACACUAUGUAUAAUUUAAUGUACAGUUUAUCCUGAAGAUUGAAAUGACUGACACUUAAAACGACAACCACCACCCUAUUAAAAAUUGUUCCAGAAAUCAAACUGAAGACUGUUUUGCAAGAUCAUUAAUCCUCUCUGGCUCAGCAGAAAUCAAGCUAUAAUGAAGAAAACCAUAAACAUACUGGGAUAGUUCUUAAACCUGAAUUAACAUUUUAAAACUACUCUCCAUGACUCAAUUUGUUCUUAAAAUGAUAAAGGAAACAUUAAUUACUACAAAAAUCUAGUAUCUUGUGCUGCUGGUAAUAAGGUGUAAAUCAUUCAUGCUCCGUUUCCUCAUUCAUAAAAUAAGCAGCUGAGUAGCUGAUCUGCAAGUUCCUUUUCAACCCUUUGGAAAGUUUAAGAUUUAUACCAAGAAAUCUAACACAGCAACAUCCAAGUUAAUCUGAAAGUCUGCUUCUGAAUCUCUUUUAACUAUUCAAAAUAUAAAAGAUUAUAAGCCUAAAAAAGACAUUAAAAGCCCUCUGACUCCUCAUGAUUUGUUUUUAUUAAUACCCAACAAGUCACAAAUAUUUAAGGCACAUCUUUAAACUUCACAAUACCUCGAUUUUUAUUUUGAUCAUCAUUGCAAUAUGCUUCAUUAUCCAGCAGCGAAUCAUUUAAACAGGCUACUAAAAGCCUUGAAAAGAGUGAAAAAGGGAAUGGGAUAAGAAGAAAGAAACAGGAAAAAAUGUUAAAGUACAGAUCGUUCUCUAAAGAUCAGCAAUGGAUAAUGUUAUGGGGUUUUUCGGUUGUGCCUGCAGCAUGGGGAAGUUCCUGGGCCAGGGAUCGAACUGUGCCACAGCAGUGAUUUUCGCCACUGCAGUGACAACUCAGGAUCCUUAACUCCCUGAGCCACAAGAGAACUCCCCGAGAGUCAAUAACGACGUUUUAUCAAAAAAGGUAAAACUAUGGUGUUACAGUCUAUUUAGCAAGGUAGGAAAAUAUAUCACUAUUGAAAUGUUUAAAAUUUAAACUUACAUUUUUAAAAAGUUAAAAACUGUUAAAAACAACAAGUCCUAGAACUUAAACUAUCAAGCUCUACACUUUAACUGGUACAUUAUAGUCCCAGAGACAAAACAUUAACAUAGGAAGUAUUAAUAGGCAAACAGCUUUAAGGUAGGAAAAUACUAGUUAGAACAGUAAUAUCUGAAUUAAGUAAGAAGAGUAAGAUAUUAACUAGUAAGUAAAGAACUGUUUUUCACCCACAAUUUAAAACAAACAAGGAAACAAAUAAAAAACAAGGAGAAGACUCUCUCCUUUGUUGAAAUUUAUGUCUGGAAGAGGUCCUAAAAUUCGUACUAACUGUUUGGCAUUUGGUUGUCUCUGGGUUUUCAAAGAUGGCUACCUAACUGGCAAACUGAGACAAUCUCUCAACCACAAAGACAUAAUGUCAAUACUUGUAUAAAAAUAAAUAAAUAUCUUUUUUUGGGGGGGUCUUUUUCUAGGGCCGCUCCUGUGGCAUAUGGAGGUUCCCAGGAAAUAGCAACAAAGAGACAAAAAGACAAAAAGACAAAAAAAAAAAAAACAAUCUCUGCUUAAUUCCACGAUUAUUACCUAUCUACUAUUUCUAAAGCACUGUUAGGCCAUGCAAGAUAGGAGAAUGAAAGAAAUAUGGUCCCUUCACUUCAAACUUGGAAGGAGCAGGGUACAAAUAGAGGAUCAGAGAAGGGGAAUACCCAAGUUUAGGAAUCCUACAAGAGACUGGCCUGUGUCACCAAAAAAGAUUCAGCAUAAACAGGGAAAUGACUAUUCUUUUCCUAAGAU
rnacentral:lncRNA from 1 species